rnacentral:rRNA from 1 species
GACGAACGCUGGCGGCGUGCUUAACACAUGCAAGUCGACAUGAGUGGCGAACGGGUGAGUAAUACGUGGGUAACCUGCCCUCCUUUUUGGGAUAAGCCUUGGAAACGGUGUCUAAUACCGAAUAAAGGGGGAUGGGCUCGGGGCAUAUCAGCUUGUUGGUGGGGUGAUGGCCUACCAAGGCGGUGCCGGGUAGCCGGCCUGAGAGGGUGAACGGGCACAUUGAGACUGAGAUACGGCCCAGGGUAGUAAGGGAGGCAGCAGUGGGGGAGAUUGCACAAUGGGCGAAAGCCUGAUGCAGCGACGCCGCGUGGGGGAUGAGGGCUUUCGGGUUGUAAACCUCUUACGCGAUCGAACGGGUAGUUGGAGAAGAAGCGCCGGCUAACUACGUGCCAGCCGCCGCGGUAAUAC